UUGAGUGAUUGUUGUACUUAAAGAAAGCUUAUGAAUUGGGCUUUCAUAUGCAAGAUUUGCAAGGCUUUCGAAAAUGCGACAUGCAGAACUUCACUAAAACAAUAGUUCCGACAUUUGGGUUUCGGGUGUUUUUUUUUUACUCACCCUUUACCAUAUCAUUAUUUUAUAAUGUGAUACAAACUGGAUACGUUACACGGAAACAGCACUGGGAAGGCAGAGUGUUUUGUAAAAAUUAUAUGUAAAUGUAAACAUGUAAAUGUAAGUUGUAGCCUACUGUAUAGAUCUAAGUUACUUUUCUCUAAAAAGUGGUCUUACGGUAUUUUGAACACGUUUCUGAUUUUUGGAAACCGUCCAAUCAAAUGAAACUGUAACUUUGGAAUGAGCGUACAGGGAGAUAGUGAAGCCGAAUCGCUUUCCAAAUUUGAUGCGAAUACAGAAAUUGUGAUAUUCAAAUUCCAUAGUUAUCAACUGGUUUUGUGAAAGUGCUUGAUAUGGUUUUUGCUUUGCUUGCUGCACAGUUUAUAGUUUUUGGAAUUUCUUAACAUUUAAUUUUUUUAAUGUUACAUUUGACAUAAUGUUCAUGUAUAAAGUUUUGUAUGAAAAGACGUUUUUGCCCUGUUAGCCCUGGGUUCUGACGAAUUUUGAGCAUUACAUGAAUAUGUAUCUGCAAUUCAAGUGCCGAAAAUUGUUGAUUAAGCCUAGGCUGCGUUCAUAUAGACCUGUUGCAUUCAGAAGACAUGUUUGAGGUGUUGACAUAUUUUAAUUUAAGGGGUUUACUCAUACUUAUGCAUGCGUGCGGAACAAAAGCACACACUCCAAAGGUGGCUGCAGUGCAUCUAUACAUCAUUAUUUUGUGUAUGGCCGGAAAGACGUGCGCUUUUCCAAUCCACUACUCAUAGACGCGCAUGUCAUUGUCGGGCGUACCAAAGUAAUUUCUGAAUGCCUCAUAUUCGUGCGCAUCACUUUAAGCAACGAUCUGGAUAGAACAGGUUUCACUGCAUGCACUGUUAUUUGUUGAGUUUCCGCUGCCCUGGAUCUGGGCACUAAGUUUCAACCAAUCACAGAAUGACACAAUCUGCGAUCACGUGGUGUGUCCCUGUAAUCCAAUCAGAUCAGUCUCUGAUCACGCGUAUCACCUUUGGGAUGUGAUUGUGCCAAUCUGGAAGAAUAAAAACCUAGCGAUCAAACUCUGUAUCUGCAACUCGGCUCAUUUGCAGAACGAAUUCUGAAGUGCAUGCGAGAUGAUGCAACGAAUCUGUGUAAAAUGGUUUGUGUUUCUGCUUUGGCAUUAAAAUUUUAUAUUUUGAAAGAUUAUUUGUAACUGUGCUAGAUUGUAGACUCAAACAUGGUCAGAAUUUCUUGUAAAAAAAUCUUGCUUAGUAAAAGAAAAGAUUGAAUAUA